AGUGAACGCUGGCGGUAGGCCUAACACAUGCAAGUCGAACGGCAGCACAGGAGAGCUUGCUCUCUGGGUGGCGAGUGGCGGACGGGUGAGGAAUACAUCGGAAUCUACUUUUUCGUGGGGGAUAACGUAGGGAAACUUACGCUAAUACCGCAUACGACCUACGGGUGAAAGCAGGGGACCUUCGGGCCUUGCGCGAUUGAAUGAGCCGAUGUCGGAUUAGCUAGUUGGCGGGGUAAAGGCCCACCAAGGCGACGAUCCGUAGCUGGUCUGAGAGGGUGAUCAGCCAGACUGGAACUGAGACACGGUCCAGACUCCUACGGGAGGCAGCAGUGGGGAAUAUUGGACAAUGGGCGCAAGCCUGAUCCAGCCAUACCGCGUGGGUGAAGAAGGCCUUCGGGUUGUAAAGCCCUUUUGUUGGGAAAGAAAUCCAGCUGGCUAAUACCCGGUUGGGAUGACGGUACCCAAAGAAUAAGCACCGGCUAACUUCGUGCCAGCAGCCGCCGUAA
rnacentral:rRNA from 1 species